CAUAGCGGUUAGACAUCUAUAUGCCUUAUGAAGUGAUCCCCAGGAAGUCUGGCACCCACCUGACAAGCUGAGUAUUCAUCAAAGCAAAGGGUCUCAGACUUGGGCAUGUUUGGAACCAUCUGGACUGUGUGAUAAGCAGGCAGUUGUAUCAAACAUCUCAACACACCCAAGGCAGGCCUGUUCUCUCAUGGUGUUGCAUGUGCCAUUCUCGUCGGCAGCCCCCAGCCCUCCUUUAGCUCCCAAAGCCCCGUGGAACCCAGCCCGGACAUUGGAACGGCCCCUAAGCUCCUUCCACAUCGUGUGGCUUCCUCAUCGCAGUCAUUCCAGAAACAGCUGCUUAAUGAUUGAUCCAACCCAUCCAUUUAGGACGUGGAGCUGACUCGGCUGUGACGAGGGUUUGCGUGAGGACUCUGGUCAGUGACUCUCAAAGGGUGGGCUCCUGGACAGCAGCAGCACCCCGAAACCUGUUAGACGGGGAAAUACAUGGCCCCCGCCCAGAACUGCUGAAUCAGAAACGCUGGUGUUGGAGGGCAGCACCGAUGUGGAAACAAGCCUUCCAGGUGACUCGGAUCAUGCUAAAGCUCAGGACCACUGCUUUAGACCCGGGAGCAGCUUCCGACGUGGGUACCAAGCUUUUGUUCCUUCGUGGACUCGAGCAUCUGUCUGUUUUCCUCCUCGGAGGAACUUCAUUCGAAGCAGUAGGCCUAUCCCAGAUCAUCCUUUUAGGGGAAAAGGAGAUGAGGAAGGAUGAGAACCAAACUUUUGGAUGAACUCAGAACAAAUGAUCCACGAGCCAUUGUCUCCUAAUACUGGAGGCCG